rnacentral:tRNA from 1 species
NACACUAGCUCAGUUGGUAGAGCGCAACCUUGCCAAGGUUGAGGUCACGAGUUCGAACCUCGUGUGUCGCUCCA